rnacentral:piRNA from 1 species
AGGGUUGUGUGUAAGGGGCUGCAAGU